rnacentral:lncRNA from 1 species
AUUCCCUCUGCUCAAGUCCAGCCGUCUGCCACAGCAGUGCGACCCAUGGCAGACCAUCCAGGAGGCGGUGGUGGCAGCAGCGGCGUCCUUUCUUGCCUGCAUUUAUCUGCGCUGUUUGAAGCCUUGUGACCCGUCAGGACCCAACGGCUGUCUGAUCACAUUGCUGGGCUGCCUGCUGUCUUCGGGUUGGGAGAUCCUGGUUGGCCUGGAGGAAGAGAGAAGGCAGGCCUUGAGGAUAGAAAAGCUGCCCAGAUUCUUUAGUGUGGGACACGUGGGCGUAGGUGCAUGUGUGUGGCCGGAGACCGUCAGACUAGGGAAGAGCAUGCAUUUUCCACAUUGGCAGCUCCCCGUGGGAAGGAAGGUGUGGUCCAUGGUCCACCUUAUAGCAAUUACAGCAUCCCCCACUUGUCAUGUGCCACUGCUUCUCUGUAAGCAGAGGGGGUGCACACAGCCCAUCCUGUGGAGGGAGGAGAGCCAUGAGAGGCAUCGUCCACAGAACCGACUCAGAUAGAUGUUCCAGGGUCGGGCCCCUAGCCACGAGCUCGAGAGCGAGCUGCACCCACCUGGCUGACUCCUGCUUCCCUCCAAACCACGAGGCUAGCUGCUGACUCCUAGUACUAGAGAAGACAGAAGGAAAUGGACUUUUCCCACUCCAGACAGGUGCAGACUAAGAGGAGAGAACAGAAUGGAUGUUCCUUCAAAACGACGACGGCACUAGACGGUGGCACAUGCCUGUAACUGUUAGGGAGGCAGGAGGGUCCCAGUGCAAGGCUGCCUGGGCUACACAGUGAAUUACGGCAGCAUGUGUGAGAACUUGGGUUUCAAAAAGCAAACCAGGCAUGGUGGUGCACACCUUUAAUCCCAGCACCUGGGAGGCAGAGGCAGGUGAGUUCAAGGCCAGCCUGGUCUACAGAGCAAGUUCCAGGUCAGCCAGGGCUACAGAGAGAGACCCUGUCUUGGGGAAAGAAUAGCCCGAGAAAGCCCUCCAAACUCGAAGGCUGCAGUGUGCUCAGAGGCUGGCUGACUGACCCAAGUGUGCAGUCCCCAAUAUUGGAGAGAAAAGAAAGAAGAGUCUAUUGCGGUGUGGCUGUAACCCUACCACCAGAGAAGCUGAGGCAGGACUGCUGGGCCAGCCUAGGAUACAGGGUGAAAGUGUCUCAGAACCCCAAGAUUAUGGCUGGACGUGUGCCUGAGCACAGAGCUGCCAGCAUACAGGAAGCCCAGGUUUGGUUGCAGUUCUGGGUAGGGGAGGGGAGGACAGCUGUAAGCCCAGCAGACAGGAGGUAGAGACAGAGGGAGAGGCAUUCAACGUUGUUAUUUCUACAAUGGUGAGUUUGUGGCUAGCCUAAGCUAAGUAAGACCUUGUGUGUGUGCCAGCACCUGCCUCUUUCUCAGUCUUCAACCACAUGAUCCUUAUUUAUCAUGUGUGCAGGGUUCUGUCUGCAUGGAUGCCUGUCCAUGUUUAUCAUGUGUGCAGUGUUCUGUCUGCAUGGAUGCCUGUCCACGCACACAUGAGGCCAGAAGGCGGCAUCAGACCCCACUACAGAUGGUUGUGAGCCUCCAUGUGGUUGCUGGGAUUUGAACUCAGGACCUCUGGAAGAGCAGUCAGUGCUCUUAACCACUGAGCCAUCUCUCCAGCCCAUGCAUACUUCAUUUAAAAAAACCCUUUAAAACGUAUUGUAUGGAAUACAUGUGUACCCCAAAGCACAAUUCAGAGGUCAGGGGACAUAGGGGCUGAUUCUCUCUCCACUGUCAGGGUCAUCAGGCGUGGCAGCGAGUGCCCUUUGCAGCUGAGUGGUGUCAGCAGCCUGAGCCCAGCGUGUGCCUGGGUGCUGGGGUCCUGGCACAGGUCCUCAGGAUUGUCUAGCACCCACUGAUUGAGCCCCGCCUCCAGCCCCCAAAGGCAGGGCUUGAGUUUGGUGUUUUUUGGUUUUGAGACAGGGGUUCUCUGUGGCUCUGGCUGUUCUGGACAGCUCACUAUGUAGACCCUGCUGGCCUGAAACUCACAGAGGUCCAGGUGCCUCUGCCUCCUGAGUGCUAGGAUUAAAGGUGUGUGCCACCACUGCCCAGCUCCAAAUGUCAUCAGAAAGUAACACAAUACAAAUCUAAAAUCU